AAUCAGUUUUGAAAAAUAACCAAAUAGGAGCAUCUAGAGACCUUCUAGUCUUUGGAGUGAAUGAUUUAUAUUUGUUUCUGAGA
ensembl:snoRNA